GUGCAGCACUGCGGGCGCCGAUCGCGGGUCGAACAUGUCGGACCUUGCUGUCCACCUCCUGCUGUGGGAGAGACAGUGAGGCCUGCAUGCUAGACUACUGCGCGAAGCUGAGAUGUACCGCUAUGACUCGAUCAAGUUAAUGCUUGCGUGGGAAAUGUGCUGCCGCUUCUAC
rnacentral:ncRNA from 1 species